rnacentral:rRNA from 1 species
UACGUAGGGUGCGAGCGUUGUCCGGAAUUAUUGGGCGUAAAGAGCUUGUAGGCGGUUUGUCGCGUCUGCUGUGAAAUUUCGGGGCUCAACCCCGAACUGCAGUGGGGUACGGGCAGACUAGAGUGUGGUAGGGGGAGACUGGAAUUCCUGGUGUAGCGGUGAAAUGCGCAGAUAUCAGGAGGAACACCGAUGCGAAGGCAGGUCUCUGGGCCACUACUGACGCUGAGAAGCGAAAGCAUGGGGGAGCGAACAGG